rnacentral:sRNA from 12 species
CGCCUAACCCUCACAGUUGAUCUGCGAGGUACGGCAUAAAAACCUACCACAGGAUAAAAAGCUCGUCGUCAGAGCACCUGUGGUAGGUCAUAUCCGAAAGGGUAUGGGUAGUCCGAAAGGAUUAUC